UACGAAGGGUGCAAGCGUUACUCGGAAUUACUGGGCGUAAAGCGUGCGUAGGUGGUUUCUUAAGUCUGCUGUGAAAGCCCCGGGCUCAACCUGGGAAUUGCAGUGGAUACUGGGGAGCUAGAGUGCGGUAGAGGGUAGUGGAAUUCCCGGUGUAGCGGUGAAAUGCGUAGAGAUCGGGAGGAACACCAGUGGCGAAGGCGGCUACCUGGACCAGCACUGACACUGAGGCACGAAAGCGUGGGGAGCGAACAGG
rnacentral:rRNA from 1 species